GAUGAACGCUGGCGGCGUGCCUAAUACAUGCAAGUCGAGCGAACAGACGAGGAGCUUGCUCCUCUGACGUUAGCGGCGGACGGGUGAGUAACACGUGGAUAACCUACCUAUAAGACUGGGAUAACUUCGGGAAACCGGAGCUAAUACCGGUUAAUAUGUUGAAUCGCAUGGUUCAACAGUGAAAGACGGUCUUGCUGUCACUUAUAGAUGGAUCCGCGCCGCAUUAGCUAGUUGGUAAGGUAACGGCUUACCAAGGCAACGAUGCGUAGCCGACCUGAGAGGGUGAUCGGCCACACUGGAACUGAGACACGGUCCAGACUCCUACGGGAGGCAGCAGUAGGGAAUCUUCCGCAAUGGGCGAAAGCCUGACGGAGCAACGCCGCGUGAGUGAAGAAGGUCUUCGGAUCGUAAAACUCUGUUAUUAGGGAAGAACAAAUGUGUAAGUAACUAUGCACGUCUUGACGGUACCUAAUCAGAAAGCCACGGCUAACUACGUG
rnacentral:rRNA from 1 species